CCAUUCAACCAACAACAUGAUACACGGCUACUGGAACAUUCGAGGCUACUCGCAGCCCAUUCGCCUACUUCUUGCUCAGGCAGAUGUUGAAUACGAAG